rnacentral:rRNA from 1 species
UACGUAGGUGACAAGCGUUGUCCGGAUUUACUGGGCGUAAAGAGCGCGCAGGCGGUCGAUCAAGUCGAGUGUGAAAGCCCCCGGCUCAACUGGGGAGGGUCAUUCGAUACUGAUCGACUCGAAGGCAGGAGAGGGUAGUGGAAUUCCCGGUGUAGUGGUGAAAUGCGUAGAUAUCGGGAGGAACACCGGUGGCGAAGGCGGCAUCCUGGACCAACACUGACGCUGAGUGAGCGAAAGCCAGGGGAGCAAACGGG